rnacentral:rRNA from 1 species
GCACCCGCGGUAAUUCCAGCGCCAAUAGCGUAUAUUAAUGCUGCUGCUGUUAAAAAGCUCGUAGUUGGAUCAAGAGCUGGAGAGUGCACGGCGGCCCUUUUUCAUUGUUUGGCUCCGGUCAUUCAGUGGGAUUGGGAUCAACCCCGUGCGCCAAACUCUCCACUCUAACAGGCCGAAGCGGUUCCCUGUGAGUAGGCCCCUUCAUUGGGGUUGAAAGCGACUUCGCAUCUACCAUAUGCAUACGGGACGUCGGCCAAAGUUACUGUGAACAGACUAGCGUGUCCAAAACAGGCUUUUAGCCUGAAUGUUCGAGCAUGGAAUAACAAGGGAUCGAUUCUCUCGGUUCUUUUUGUUGGUUUUUAACCCGAGAAGGAGUAAUUCAGGCCACGGUGUCUGAGCUGGGUUCCCCGUCACUUCGGUGGCGGCCCCAGUUAGGCCGUGUCCUUACGGGAUAAAUAGGGACUGACGGGGUCGUACGUACUUCCACGUCAGAGGUGAAAUUCUUAGAUCGUGGGAAGACGAACUUCUGCGAAAGCAUUCGACAAGAAUGUCUUCAUUAAUCAAGAACGAGAGUGUGGGGAUCGAAGAUGAUCAGAUACCGUCGUAGUCCACUACUGUAAACAAUGCCGUCUCAGGAUUGAGAAGUAACCUUUUGGCCUUCACAGCACUAACCCCUGAAACGAGAAAUCAAAGAUUAUGGGUUCAGGGGGGAGUACAUUCGCAAGGCUGAAACUUAAAGGAAUUGACGGAAUGACACCACAAGGCGUGGAGUAUGCGGCUUAAUGUGACUCAACACGGGGAAUUUUACUAGGUCGGGACAAUGUAAGGAUUGACAGAUUGAGAGCUCUUUCUCGAUCCAUUGUGUGGUGGUGCAUGGCCGCUCCUGGUUGGUGGAGUGAUUUGUCUGGUUGAUUCCGUUAACGAACGAGAUCUCGACCCUUAAAUAGGUGCCCGUGUCGAUUGUAGUUUCAUCUCCGCUCGCUUGCGAGAUUGGAGUGGGACGAGACUGCGGGAAUACUUCUUAAGGGGACUGUGUGCGUCUAUAGCACGCGGAAGAGCGAGCCAAUAGCAGGUCUGUGAUGCUCCUAAAUGUCCUAGGCUGCACGCGCACUACACUGAUGCAAUAAACGAGUCUGAGUGCCUUCUGGCAACCUACCUGGAAGCGGGUGGGGAAUCUUUUGAACUUGCAUCGUGAUGAG